rnacentral:rRNA from 1 species
UACGAACCGUCCAAACGUUAUUCGGAAUUACUGGGCUUAAAGGGUUCGUAGGCGGCCUUGUAAGUGGGGUGUGAAAUCCCUCGGCUCAACCGAGGAAUAGCGCUCCAAACUACACGGCUUGAGGGAGACAGGGGUAAGCGGGACUGAUGGUGGAGCGGUGAAAUGCGUUGAUAUCAUCAGGAACACCGGUGGCGAAAGCGGCUUACUGGGUCUCUUCUGACGCUGAGGAACGAAAGCUAGGGUAGCGAACGGG